rnacentral:misc_RNA from 1 species
AAAGUCGUAACAAGGUUUCCGUAGGUGAACCUGCGGAAGGAUCAUUAACAAAUUUCCAACACUCGUGUUCUCCAGUUGGGAUGGGUCCUUCGGGACGCUGAACAGCUGGAGCAUUCACAAACAUUUACACUUACUUUAAACAACAACUACAACCAAAAGAUAUCAAUGUGAAAAACAACUUUUAACAAUGGAUCUCUUGGCUCUU